rnacentral:pre_miRNA from 1 species
UAGACAGGUAUUUGUAUUCGACUAUAUUCACGGCGUGAAACAGGGGAUUACACUGUUUUUAAACGGAAAGUGAAUCAAUUAACAUAAUAGACUCCU